AUUGAACGCUGGCGGCAGGCCUAACACAUGCAAGUCGAGCGGAUGACAGGAGCUUGCUCCUGAAUUCAGCGGCGGACGGGUGAGUAAUGCCUAGGAAUCUGCCUGGUAGUGGGGGACAACGUUUCGAAAGGAACGCUAAUACCGCAUACGUCCUACGGGAGAAAGCAGGGGACCUUCGGGCCUUGCGCUAUCAGAUGAGCCUAGGUCGGAUUAGCUAGUUGGUGAGGUAAUGGCUCACCAAGGCGACGAUCCGUAACUGGUCUGAGAGGAUGAUCAGUCACACUGGAACUGAGACACGGUCCAGACUCCUACGGGAGGCAGCAGUGGGGAAUAUUGGACAAUGGGCGAAAGCCUGAUCCAGCCAUGCCGCGUGUGUGAAGAAGGUCUUCGGAUUGUAAAGCACUUUAAGUUGGGAGGAAGGGCAGUAAAUUAAUACUUUGCUGUUUUGACGUUACCGACAGAAUAAGCACCGGCUAA
rnacentral:rRNA from 1 species